GUUGGUGUUGAUGACGCUGAGGGUCCACCUGUUCCCAUACCGAACACAGAAGUUAAGCUCAGUGGUGCCGAAAAUAGUGCUCUGGCGACGGAGUGUGAAAAUAGGGAGAUGCCAACA
rnacentral:rRNA from 1 species